rnacentral:rRNA from 1 species
AAUGAACGCUGGCGGCAGGCUUAACACAUGCAAGUCGAGCGCACCGCAAGGUGAGCGGCAGACGGGUGAGUAACGCGUGGGAAUCUACCCAACCCUACGGAAUAACCCAGGGAAACUUGGACUAAUACCGUAUACGCCCUUUUGGGGAAAGAUUUAUCGGGGAUGGAUGAGCCCGCGUUGGAUUAGCUAGUUGGUGGGGUAAAGGCCUACCAAGGCGACGAUCCAUAGCUGGUCUGAGAGGAUGAUCAGCCACAUUGGGACUGAGACACGGCCCAAACUCCUACGGGAGGCAGCAGUGGGGAAUAUUGGACAAUGGGCGCAAGCCUGAUCCAGCCAUGCCGCGUGAGUGAUGAAGGCCUUAGGGUUGUAAAGCUCUUUCAGUAGGGAAGAUAAUGACGGUACCUACAGAAGAAGCCCCGGCUAACUUCGUG